rnacentral:lncRNA from 10 species
UGACAUUCUUGAUGACAUCAUUGUUCUCUCCUCAAUUAGGUGGUCAGCAUGAUUGCGCACAGCCUGCAUUUCUACAAGGAAGUACUGUAGGGAAUGCUGUACAAAGCUUCUCUCAGAUCCAGGGCUGUCAUGUCUAUUGGGGAAUUGUGCAGUGGCCUCAACUGAAGUAUGACCGCUUCUCUGAAAGUCUCAGUAUUUCUCGUUUUCCUUGACACUGGACUGGUGGCUUUGCAUGUAUACUGGCUCUUUCUUCUUUCCUCCCUGCUGAUGUCUGAAAUGCACACGAAAGCACAAGAAAUGGGAUCUCACUCCAUCACUCAGGCUGGAGUACAGUGCUGAGAUCAAGGCUCACUGCAGCCUUGAACACCUGGACUCAAGUGAUUCUCCUGCCUCAGCCUCCUGAGUAGCAGAGACUACAGAGCCUCAUUCUGUUGCCCAGGCUGGAGUGCAAUGGCAUGAUCUCAGUUCACUGUGACCUCUGCCUCCCUGGUUCAAGUGAUUCUUCUGCCUCAGCCUCCCAGGUAGCUGGACUAAAG